AGAACGAACGCUGGCGGCAGGCCUAAUACAUGCAAGUCGAACGCACUCUUCGGAGUGAGUGGCAGACGGGUGAGUAACGCGUGGGAGCCUUCCCAAUGGUACGGAAUAACUCCGGGAAACCGGUGCUAAUACCGUAUAAGCCCCUCGGGGGAAAGAUUUAUCGCCAUUGGAUGGGCCCGCGUCGGAUUAGCUAGUUGGUAAGGUAAUGGCUUACCAAGGCUACGAUCCGUAGCUGGUCUGAGAGGAUGAUCAGCCACACUGGGACUGAGACACGGCCCAGACUCCUACGGGAGGCAGCAGUAGGGAAUCUUGGACAAUGGGCGAAAGCCUGAUCCAGCCAUGCCGCGUGAGUGAAGAAGGCCUUAGGGUGUAAAGCUCUUUUAGCGGGACGAUAAUGACGGUACCCGCAGAAUAAGCCCGGCUAACUCGCGCCAGCAGCCGC
rnacentral:rRNA from 1 species